UCCAGGUCUUCCAGUCAAUCAGUGUCUUCCAGAAAGAAAUCCAGGUCUUCCAGUCAGUGUCUUCCAGAAAAAUCUAUGUCUUCCACCAAAUCCAGGUCUUCCAGUCAAUCCACAUCUUCCGGAAAAAAUCCAGGUCUUCCAGCCAAUAUAUGUCUUCCUGAAGAUCCAUGUCUUCCAGAAAAUCCAUGUCUUCCAGAAAAUCCACGUCUUCCAGUAACCUCCCAGUCUUCCAGAAAAUCCACGUCUUCCCAACAAUCCAGGUCUUCCGGAUAAUUUGGGUCUUCCUGAAAAUCUACGUCUUCCAAAAAAGCCAUGUCUUCCAGAAAAUCCACAUCUUCCAAUGGCCUCCAGGUCUUCCAGACUAUCCAUGUCUUCCAGAAAAUCCUUGUCUUCCCUCAAAUCUAUAGCUUCCAAAAAAUCCGGGUCUUCCAGGAAAUCCGUGUCUUCCAGCAAGUCCACGUCUUCCAACAAAGCCAUGUCUUCCAGACUAUCCACGUCUUCCAGAAAAUCCUUGUCUUCCCUCAAAUCCAUAGCUUCCGAAAAAUCCAGGUCUUCCAGGAAAUCCGUGUCUUCCAGCAAAUCCACGUCUUCCAACAAAGCCAUGUCUUCCAUCAAAUUAAUGUCUUCCAGCCUACUUGUGUCUUCCAACAAAGGUGUGUCUUCCAACAAAGGUACGUCUUCCAACAAAGGUACGUCUUCCAACAAAGGUCUUCCAGCAUCUCCAGGGCUUCCAGCAUCUGCUCGUCUUCCAACAUCUCCACGUCUUCCAGCAUCUCUACGUCUUCCAGCAUCUUCAUGUCUUCCAACAACUACCCAGUCUUCCAUCAACUGGCUCAAUAUCCAUGUCUUCCAACGUCUCCAGUGUGCUGAUCUUCUGACAUUCAGGUCUUCCAGUGUCUGCA
rnacentral:lncRNA from 1 species